UAUGUCUUCUCCAGUGUCUGAUCGGGGAUCAGAUUUUAUUUUAAUCAUUUCGACUGUGUCAUUAUAUCAACAGUCCGGUAGAGGGUGCCAUACAUCAGUGAGGGAAAUUAAAAUGGCCUGAAGAAAGGAACUGGACAGUCACUGCCAUAAACCCUUUUUAUCUGGUGACGACUCAAGUAGUUUAGUUCGUAAGCAAGGCAGUGAAUUUAAUGGCGCGAGAUAACAGAUCUUAUAUAUUAACCCGGGUUAAAACGGAAAGAAAUAUAUGGACAAGCAUAAUUAAACAUUCUACAACAGUGAGGGAAGGGACACAAGUACACUAUUAAAGUUACCUAGAAAUUUUAACAACUGUAGAUUACUGCUGCGUCAUCUCUGGCUCUAACGGCUGAGGCGCGUGGCUCCUCGGCGGUUAAACUUAAAUAACAGUUUUGUCAACGGCUGGAUUUGGAUGAAAACUGCAUUGUAUGCGACCAAAAACUACACAAACGAGUCUUUUCUACUUGGAGAAGCAUCACGAACAGAAAAUGUGGCCACCAGGCCGCUGUAAUUCUGUCGAGUGACCAAGGUUUGGAUACCCAUAGCAGAGUUUUUUCAACAAAGCAGGUGAUCUGGCCUAGGCUCUAUGAUGGAUGCACACAAUGCAAAGGCAAACAAGCAUGAAUGUCAGGCCAAAUACAAGCAGGCAAGACAAGAACGAAAAAAGCUCCUCACGCCUGCACACAAUUACAUGAUUGACAUCCUGGCUGACAGGCUGUUCUUGGAGGCAAAAGAAGUAGAAGAAUUUAUUUUAGAUUCUCCAUCUUUGGCUCCUUUCGAUCAUUUCUUUGCCAAAGGAGGUUGUAAAACCAUUUCCUUUGUGUAUCAAAAGGCUGAAGUCCCAGGAAAAGAGUGUGGCCGCUCAUAUCAUGGAACUACCAAAGGGGAAAAAAUACUGAGGCUGUUUUUAGCAGAUUUGUCUCAGACAUGCCUUACAGGUGUUUGCUGCUCUUUCACACGCAAUAGAGUGGACGUUUCUGUGAAUUCAGAAAACAUACAUGAGGAGAUCUUUUUUUCAAUGGUUGAUGCCAGAGAUGGCCUCCUGAAAGGAAUUAAAAAUGCCUUUAGCUUUGUACUGCCAGCUCUGGAUGCAACACAAAACUGGGGUGUCUUAGAUAAGUCUAGACAUGGAGCAAAAUUUAAAAAGAACUUCAAGUACACCAUUAAACUUUGUCUUAGCUCCUUAGAUGACAUUCAGAUGAGAAAUGAGAGCAUUGUACAUUUGACCACAGUCACAGAUAUUGACUUCUCUAAACUGGCCUCCCUUGAAGAUAUAAAAGUUGCGGCUGCCAACUUGGAUAUGGUGCAUCGACUUGAAGAAGUUCUGAUGCAAUGGUACAAGCAAAUUGAGCAGGUUCUGUUAGAGAGUGAUCAGUUGAGGAAAGGAGAUGAUUCUGCAGGACCACUGACUGAGUUGGAGCACUGGAAAAGAAUGUCUUUGAGGUUCAACUCCAUCAUCAGUCACAUCAAAAGCUCAGAGUGUAGGGCAGUGGUAAUGGUGCUCCAUAACAGCCAUUCCAAGAUUAUGAAGAUGUGGCGGGAGCUGGAUAUGAGGAUAACAGACUGUGCCAAUGAAGCUAAAGACAAUGUAAAAUUCCUGUCCACACUGGAGAAAGUCUGUCUACCUCUUUACAACAGUGACCCGGUCACCAUGAUCAAGAGCGUGCAGAACAUCAUCAGUGCCAUUCAAAUGAUUUACAGUGUUUCACUGUACUACAACACAAAUGAAAAGAUAUCUGCACUGUUCAUCAAAGUCACAAAUCAGAUGGUUACAGCUUGCAGAUCAUACAUCACUGACAAUGGCAUGAGUCUAAUAUGGGACCAAGAUGCUGAAGACAUCAUCAAGAAAAUGCAGGACUGUAUCUGCUUGUAUCAGGAGUAUCAGUCUUGCUUCCAGAAAACAAAGAAACAAACAAUGGAAAGACCUGGAAAGAAGUCCUUUGAGGUUUCAGAGAAGCAGAUUUUUUGCAAGUUUGAGGGCUUCUGUAACCAACUCAAAAAGAUCACUCAAAUAAUCACUGUGUUUAAGACAUUUGAACCUCUUGGGAAAUCAAACAUUGAGGGCAUUGAAAUUCUUGCCCGACAAUUCCACACUGUAUCCAUGACUUUGAAAAGGAAGCAGUACGACAUGUUGGCUCCAAGGACAACUGAAUUUCAAACUGAUUUUACUAAGUUCAUGGCUCAGAUCAGCCACAUUGAGAACCAGCUGCGGGCAUUUAUGAGUUUGUGCCUCUCAAACAUUAUCUCAUCUCAGCAAGCUCUUUGCUUAGUACAGCGUUUUCAGAGGCUGAACAUUCCCUGUCUAGAGACAGAAAUUUCCAGCCUCUUGGAUCGUAUUCUUCAGCAUUACGCCUCAGAAGUAGAGUUUGUGAAAAAGCUCUAUGACAAACAGAGAGAAGAUCCCCCAUUAGCUAGAAACAUGCCUCCUGUGGCUGGAAGGAUUGGUUGGGUCAGGCACCUCCACAAAAAAAUAGAGGAACCUAUAUCAUACAUGAAAGACAACACUGACAUCCUUUGUAGCCCAGAGGGACAAGAUGUGGUCAAAAUGUACAAUCAAACGGCAGCUGCAUUUGUAGAGUUUGAGUCUGUUUACCACAGAGCAUGGAUGGGUGAAGUGUCAAAACUGGACUAUGUCUUGAAUAUCACACUGCUGGUGCGACACCCAAAGACUGGAAAGUUAGUCGUCAACUUUGAUCCUAAAGUAAUUGAGGUAAUCCGGGAGGCUAAGUGUUUGCUGAAGAUGGGUCUGGAGGUUCCAAAGCAGGCUUUGCGUCUGGUCAAAUCAGAAAACAGAAUAAAUACUAACCACCUCCGACUAAAGACCAUUUUGGCAGACUAUGAGUCCACAUGUGAGAGCAUACCGCCAGACUUUAUCAGCUUGAUGGCUUCAAAAAUAAAAAAUGUGGAAUCUGCGCUCCGCCAUGGGUCAGCGCUGCUCACCUGGUCAUCCUUCCUCCUGGACAAGUUUUUCCUAAAUGUUGACAGUGCUUUGUUUGAACUGAAACAUCUUGUUAAAACGGUGCAGGAUAUCUGUAAGAUACGCAUUGAUAAUGUCCUGAAGGACAUCUCAGAGACGGUGCUGAUUGAGCUCCCAGAGGAUCAUGCAUCUUUACCACAUGACCUGAUUGAGCGCAAUGAGAAACAAUGUAAAGAGUGGGCAAAGACUUUGGACUACAAAUGUAGUCAUGUUAAAGACGCAGUGAAGGAGCUGAGUAAUGUGUUCAGGGCCAUUUAUGAAUCAAAAGGCACCAAGAAGACCAUUGAGGAUGUUGUUGAUGUUUCAGGACGGAGGAUUGUGAGAUUCUCAGGAGAGAGCCAGAAAAAGCCUUAUGAGGAUGAGGGUAUGAAUUUAGAAGGUCCAGGCAGAGAUAAAGCAGUGAAAUAUGAAAAGGAGUUUAAGAAACUUUAUGAAUACUUCACUGCAAGGGUAUUUGAGGCACUGGUCAAAACAGCUAAGCUAUCUUUUGAGACCCUGAAAAGGAGAAUUUGUGGCAAAUCAAUAAAUGAGAGUUUUGGUUCUUAUCAGAGGUCAAAAUCUAAGUCUAAGAUGGUUCCGCUAAUAAAAUCUGAAGUGCAGCUGGUCAAACCACAUGUGGUAAUGAUCCCCACUGUAGAUGACAUCCAACAUGUCAUAAAUCAACUAAUCAACCUGGUGAUGGAAGUUAGCAAGGGUAUUUCAUGGCAGCGGGAGUACACUCACGAUGAGAAUAAAGGCGGAGAAAAAGAGAAUUUCUAUCACAGAGUAGUUGAACACAAGGACAUCAAAAAGGUGGCGGUCAUUCUGAAAACAGCAGUCAGCUCCCAGAGAGAACAAGUGGCUGAUGUACUGGGGCAAUUCAGUACUUUUAGUGUGAUCUGGAAUGACGACAGGAACCUCAAAGUCAAGGAAUUCAUGGACCGUCAUCCAUCUUUGAUCCAGAUCAAAUCAGAAAUCCAGCACUACGAUUCAAUUGAACAAAAAACUGAUGAUAUCAAACCCAUCAUUGUUUUGGGGUCUAUUGAACUGUCAACCGAUCCAUUAAAGAAGGCCCUGAAAGUUGAGACCAAAGCAUGGAAGAAACUGUUGUGCAAAUACCUGAAGGAGGAGUAUAAAAAGAAAAUGAUUGACACCAGCAUACAUACUAACAAAUACUUCAUGAAACUAUCUCAUCCUGUGGCUAACCUGGAAGAUGUGCGGCAUGCCAUGGGGGCACUGUCUAAGCUUAGGGAUGCUGAAAUACAAACUGAUAUGACAUUGAUGUCCAUUGAGGAAGCCUUUGAAAUUUUGACUAAAUAUGAAGCAGAAGUGACCAAAAGAGAAGCGGAAGGCGUGUACAAUCUGCGGCAUUUCUUCACAAAACUUCAGUCUAAAGCUAGAUCAGUGCAAGAUGAGCUUGUUCGAAGGCAACCGAAGUUCAAACAAAACCUUCUGGAGUGUGUUUCCAUUUUCCAAAAUGAUGUCAGCAGUUUUUUGGAGCAAUACGAUUCAGAAGGCCCCAUGGCUGAUGGCAUAGCUCCACAAGAAGCCAGCCGCAGGCUCCAGAUCUGUCAGGCUAGAUUUGAAGAACUGUGGAAAAAUUUCAAUACAUACACCUCUGGUGAACAGCUCCUUGGCUUGCCAGUUACAGAUUAUGACUGUCUACAAAAGAAAAAAAAAGAGCUUGAUCUGCUACAGAAACUCUAUGGCCUAUAUGAUGCAGUUAUGGGUAAGAUCAGUGGGUACUAUAGCAUUCUGUGGACAGAUGUGGAUAUCGAGAAGAUCAAUUCUGAACUUUUGGAAUUUCAAAACAGGUGCCGGAAGCUGCCCAAAGGACUGAAGGACUGGCAAGCCUUCCUGGACCUGAAGAAGACGAUUGAUGAUUUUAGUGAGUCAUGCCCUCUGCUUGAGAUGAUGGCAAACAAAUCUAUGAUGAGGAGACACUGGGACCGGAUUGCAGACCUUACUGGGCACAAAUUUGAGGUGGAGUCCAAGACCUUUAUGCUCCAGAACAUCAUGGAAGCACCUCUAUUGAAGUACAAGGAAGAUAUUGAGGAUAUCUGCAUAUCGGCUGUUAAGGAGAAGGAUAUUGAGGCCAAGCUGUCACAAGUGAAAGAAGUAUGGUCUGGCCAGACCCUGAGCUUGAUGACAUUCAAGGAUAGAGGAGAACUGAUGCUGAAAGGGGCAGAGACCGCAGAGAUUCUCACCAUUCUGGAGGACAGUCUGAUGGUGCUGGGUUCACUGCUAAGCAACAGGUACAGUGCCUACUACAAAGCAGAGAUCCAGGAUUGGGUCUACAAACUUUCAACAUCAUCUGAUGUCAUUGAACAGUGGGUUAUUGUGCAAAAUCUGUGGAUCUAUUUGGAGGCUGUGUUUGUUGGAGGUGACAUUGCCAAAGACCUGCCACAGGAAGCAAAGCGUUUUCAGAACAUUGACAAGUCCUGGAUUAAGAUCAUGCAGCGAGCCCAAAAGGUCACAAAUGUGGUGGAGUGUUGUGUGGGAGAUCCAACUCUGGGACAGCUGCUACCAGAUCUUCAGAACCAGCUGGAGUUCUGUCAAAAAUCUCUUGCAGGGUACCUUGAGAAAAAGAGGCUCCUGUUUCCACGAUUCUUCUUUGUGUCUGAUCCAGCCCUUUUGGAAAUUCUCGGACAAGCCAGUGAUUCUCACACAAUUCAGUCACAUCUCCUUGGCGUGUUUGACAAUGUCAAUGAAGCAGAGUUUCAUGCAACAGAUUAUGACAAGAUUUUGGCUGUUAUUUCACAAGAAGGAGAGAAACUACCGCUGGACAGUCCUGUGAUGGCACAGGGACCAGUGGAGCUCUGGCUGGGCGAGCUGCUGUUAAAACAACAAGCUUCAUUACACACUGUUAUCAAAGCUUCAGAUCUAGAGAUCAGUGAUGAAGACUUCGAUCUUCUCUCUUUCCUAGACAAGUUUCAAGCACAGGUGGGCUUGCUUGGAAUCCAGAUGCUUUGGACAAGGGAUGCAGAGGAGGCACUACAAAAUGCUGAAGACGACAGGGAGAUCAUGCCUCUUACCAAAAAGAAAUUCCUAAAUUUACUCAGCGUUCUCAUUAAACAAACCACCUAUGACCUGAGCAAGUUUGACAGAGUCAAAUAUGAGACGCUUGUCACAAUCCACGUGCACCAGAGUGAUAUAUUUAAUGACCUGGUAAAAAAGCGUAUAAGAUCUGUCAAUGACUUUGAAUGGCUGAAGCAAAGCAGAUUUUACUUCAAGGAGGAUGUGGAUAAGGUCAUUGUGUCUAUCACUAAUGUUGACUUCAUCUAUCAGAAUGAGUUCCUAGGCUGCACUGACCGUCUGGUCAUCACCCCUCUUACUGACAGAUGUUACAUCACACUCGCCCAGGCUCUGGGCAUGAGCAUGGGAGGAGCCCCUGCAGGUCCGGCUGGCACUGGAAAGACAGAAACCACGAAAGACAUGGGACGCUGCCUCGGCAAGUAUGUGGUGGUGUUCAACUGCUCAGACCAGAUGGACUUCAGAGGACUUGGCAGGAUAUACAAAGGCCUUGCGCAGUCAGGUUCCUGGGGCUGCUUUGAUGAGUUCAACAGAAUUGACCUGCCAGUGCUUUCUGUUGCUGCUCAGCAGAUCUACAUUGUUCUGCAAGCACGCAAGAAACACAAAACCACUUUCAUCUUCACUGAUGGAGACUGCGUGGAUCUGAAUCCAGAGUUUGGCCUGUUUAUCACUAUGAACCCUGGAUAUGCAGGUCGACAGGAACUUCCUGAAAACUUAAAAGUGCAAUUCAGGACAGUGUCUAUGAUGGUGCCAGACCGGCAGAUCAUCAUGAGAGUUAAACUGGCUAGUUGUGGAUUCAAUGAAAAUGUCAUCUUAGCCCAGAAGUUCUUUGUCCUUUAUAAACUGUGUGAAGAACAACUUACCAAACAGGUCCAUUAUGAUUUUGGUCUGAGGAACAUCCUGUCUGUGUUGAGAACACUAGGGGCCAGUAAAAGAGCACGACCCGAUGACACGGAGUCCAGCAUUGUCAUGAGAGUGCUGCGUGACAUGAAUCUUUCUAAACUGGUGGAUGAGGAUGAGCCCCUCUUUCUUAGUUUGAUCAAUGACUUGUUCCCUGGUAUCCAGCUGGAUGGAAGCACAUAUAUUGAACUUCAAGCUGCUGUAGCCCAUCAAGUUGAACUUGCGGGUAUUGUUAACCACCCGCCAUGGAACCUCAAGCUGGUUCAGCUUUAUGAGGCCUCACGAGUGCGCCAUGGCCUAAUGACUCUGGGACCAAGCGGAGCUGGGAAGACCACAGUUAUCAACAUUCUCAUGCGAGCUAUGACUGAAUGCGGAACCCCACACAGGGAGAUGCGCAUGAACCCCAAAGCAAUCACCGCUCCACAGAUGUUUGGCCGUCUUGAUGCAGCCACCAAUGACUGGACUGAUGGUAUUUUCUCUACUCUGUGGAGGAGGACUCUUAAAGCCAAGAAAGGGGAGUUCAUAUGGAUUGUGCUGGAUGGCCCUGUGGAUGCCAUAUGGAUUGAGAACCUCAACUCUGUGCUGGAUGAUAACAAAACACUGACCCUGGCUAAUGGUGACCGCAUCACCAUGUCUCCAUCCUGCAAGCUGGUAUUUGAGGUACAUAACAUGGAUAAUGCCUCCCCUGCUACUGUAUCCCGGGUGGGUAUGGUGUUUAUGAGCUCCUCAGCUCUCAGCUGGAAGCCCAUACUUCAGGGAUGGGCUCAUAAUCGCAAUACACAAGAGGCAGAAAGCAUUAUGAGUUUAUAUGAUAGGAUAUUUGAGGAUGCUUACUUGUAUGUGAAGCAGAACCUUAAACCCAAAAUGGAGCUUUUGGAGUGCAACUACAUAAUGCAGUCUGUGAAUCUGCUGGAGGGUCUCAUUCCAACCAAGGAGACAGGGGGCUUGGCAGGUAGCAGACACAUGGAGCGCCUCUUUGUCUUCUGCCUGAUGUGGAGCCUAGGAGCCCUUUUGGAGUUGGAGGAUAGGGACAAACUGGAGACUUACAUCAGAGCACAUGAAAGCAACAUUGAUGUGCCUCAAACACAGCCAGGAGAGACUAUGUUUGAAUACAUGGUCAACCCAAAGGGUGAGUGGUGUCAUUGGAAUAACCAUGUGGGGGAGUAUAUCUAUCCAUCUGACCAUGUGCCAGACUAUGCCUCUAUCCUUGUGCCAAAUGUGGAUAACACAAGAACCUCUUUCCUGCUGGAGACAAUUGCCAAACAACGCAAGGCCGUACUUCUUAUUGGUGAACAAGGGACAGCCAAGACAGUGAUGAUAAAAAGCUACAUGAAAAAAUAUGAUCCUGAAACAGACUUGUCCAAGUCCCUGAACUUCUCAUCUGCAACAGAGCCCAUAAUGUUUCAGCGAACAGUGGAGAGCUACAUUGAGAAACGAAUUGGCAGUACAUAUGGACCCCCAGGAGGACGCAGGAUGACAGUCUUUGUUGAUGAUAUAAACAUGCCUAUUGUCAAUGAAUGGGGUGAUCAGAUCACCAAUGAGAUAGUCCGCCAGAUGAUGGAAAUGAGUGGAAUGUACAAUCUGGACAAACCAGGAGACUUUACCACUGUUGUGGAUGUACAGAUGCUGGCUGCCAUGAUUCACCCUGGUGGUGGGAGAAAUGACAUCCCUCAAAGACUGAAGAGACAGUUUACAGUAUUCAACUGUACUCUGCCAUCUAAUGCCUCCAUUGAUAAGAUCUUUGGUAUAAUCGGGUGUGGAUAUUUCGAUGCAUGCAGGAAAUUUAAGCCUGAGAUAUCAGAUAUGGUGAAGUGCCUUGUGUCUGCAGGGAGGAUUUUAUGGCAGUGGACAAAGGUAAAAAUGCUUCCCACACCAUCCAAGUUCCACUACAUCUUCAAUUUGAGAGACUUGUCUAGGAUCUGGCAAGGAAUGUUAAACAUUAAGGCUGAGGAGUGUGAUGACAUCUCCACUCUCUUGGCUCUUUUCAAGAGUGAAUGUACAAGGGUGAUUGCUGACAGGUUUAUUUGCGCUGAGGACCGAGAGUGGUUUGAGAAGGCUGUAACUCGUGUGAUCCAAGAGCAUGUUGACCCCAGCCUUGUCCCAGACCUUCAUCCAGAGCCAUACUUUGUGGACUUCCUGCGAGAUGCUCCUGAGCCCACUGGAGACGAAGAAGAUGAUGCCUGUUUUGAUGCUCCCAAAAUUUAUGAACUGGUGCCAAGUUUUGAGUUCUUAUCAGAAAAACUGAUGAUGUAUCAGACCCAGCACAAUGAGAUUGUAAGAGGCUCUAGCCUUGAUCUGGUUUUCUUCACAGAUGCCAUGACUCAUCUUGUAAAGAUAUCACGUAUCAUUCGAACUGACAAUGGAAAUGCCCUGCUUGUUGGAGUGGGAGGAUCAGGGAAACAGAGUCUGACUCGCCUUGCUUCAUACAUAGCUGGAUAUAGCAUCUUCCAGAUCACACUGACAAAAACAUACAACAUAAGUAAUUUCAUGGAUGACCUGAAAUUGUUGUAUAAAACAGCUGGGGCUGAGGGUAAAGGCAUCACCUUCAUCUUUACUGACAAUGAAAUAAAAGAUGAAGCCUUCCUUGAGUACCUCAACAAUGUUCUUUCCUCUGGUGAGGUCUCCAAUUUAUUUGCUAAAGACGAGAUACAAGAGAUCACCCAGAACCUGAUCUCUGUGAUGAAAAAGGAGUUUCCUCGUAUUCCACCAACUUUUGACAACCUCUAUGACUACUUCAUAUCCAGAUCCAGAAAGAAUCUGCAUGUAGUUCUUUGCUUCUCACCAGUCGGUCAGAAGUUUCGCUCCAGAUCCCUGAAGUUUCCUGGAUUGAUUUCUGGUUGCACAAUGGACUGGUUCACUCCUUGGCCCAAUGAGGCUCUGGUGGCUGUGUCUAACUACUUCUUGUCAGAGUUUCCCAUGGUCUGCUCUGCUGAAGUGAAGGCCUCUGUGGUGACUACCAUGGGUACAUAUCAUGACAAAGUGUCUGAGAUCUGUGAAAGCUACUUCGAAAGGUUCCGAAGGAGAACUCAUGUCACCCCUAAAUCCUACCUCUCUUUUAUAAAUAGCUACAAAACGCUGUAUGCUGAAAAGUACAACUAUAUCAACACACUAGCAGAGCGCAUGAAUGUUGGUUUGGCCAAACUGAUGGAGGCUAGUAAGUCUGUGGCUCAACUAUCCAAAGAUCUUGAAGUCAAGGAAAAAGAGCUUGCUAUAGCGUCUGUCAAAGCUGACAAGGUGGUGGCGGAGGUCACGGUCAGUGCUGAAGCUGCUACCAUUGUAAAGAAUGAGGUCCAGGUUGUGAAGGAUAAAGCCCAGAAGAUUGUGGAGGGUAUUGAAAAAGAAAAAGCUAUUGCAGAGGAAAAACUGGAGGCUGCCAGGCCAGCUUUAGAAGAGGCUGAAGCUGCACUGAAUACCAUCAAGCCUGCUGAUAUUGCUACUGUGAGAAAAUUGGCCAAACCUCCACAUCUGAUCAUGAGGAUUAUGGACUGUGGCCUACUUUUAUUCCAAAAGAAGCUAGACUCUGUCUCUGUUGAUCCAGAACGACAGUGUAUUAAGCCAUCAUGGUCAGAAGCCUUGAAGCUUAUGAGUGCUGCUGGUUUUAUGACCUCCCUUCAGCAGUUCCAAAAUGACAAAAUUAAUGAGGAAACAGUAGAACUGCUGCAGCCCUACUUUGACAUGGAGGAUUACACAAUGGAAAAUGCCAAGAAAGUGUGUGGUAAUGUGGCUGGUCUGCUAGCAUGGACCCGGGCUAUGGCCUCGUUCUUUGGCAUUAACAAAGAAGUGCUUCCACUCAAGGCUAACCUGGCCAUUCAGGAGGGCCGGCUAAGAGUGGCUAACAAUGAGCUAAACAAGGCUGAGUCUCAGCUGGCUGAGAAGCAAGCAGAAUUUGACAAAGUCAAAGCCAAAUGUGAUGCUGCCAUGAAAGAGAAGCAGGACUUGUUGGAUGAUGCUGAGAUGUGUAGGAAUAAAAUGCAAGCUGCGUCUGCACUUAUUGAUGGACUCAGUGGAGAGAAGGUUCGCUGGAUAGAGCAAAGCAAAGAAUUUAAAUCACAGAUCAACAGACUUGUGGGUGAUGUGCUCCAGCUCACUGGCUUCUUAUCUUACUGUGGGCCAUUUAAUCAGAGUUUCCGUGACAUGUUGUUGAAGGAAAUCUGGGAGGCAGAGCUCAGGAGCCAUAAAAUUCCUUUUACAGAAAACCUCAACCUCAUUUCUGCCCUAGUGGACCCUCCCACUAUAAGUGAGUGGAACCUUCAAGGACUCCCAGGAGACGACUUGUCUGUGCAGAAUGGCAUCAUCGUCACAAAAGCAACAAGAUAUCCUCUGCUUAUCGAUCCCCAGACUCAGGGAAAGGCUUGGAUUAAGGAAAAAGAAAAGGCCAAUGCACUACAAGUGACAUCACUCAACCACAAGUUCUUUCGCACCCAUAUGGAAGACUGUCUUUCCUUAGGACGCCCACUGCUUAUUGAAGAUGUCAGUGAGGAGCUUGACCCUGCCCUUGACAAUGUCCUUGAGAAAAACUUCAUUAAAUCUGGGACCAGUUAUAAGGUCAAAGUGGGAGACAAAGAGGUAAAUGUGAUGGAUGGCUUCCAGCUCUACAUAACCACCAAACUGCCUAAUCCAGCAUACACACCAGAAGUCAGUGCCAAGACGUCCAUCAUUGAUUUCACUGUUAACAUGAAGGGCCUCGAGAACCAGCUACUUGGUCGUGUCAUCCUCAGAGAGAAACAUGAACUAGAGGCUGAAAGAUUGAAGCUAAUUGAGGAUGUAACUGCCAAUAAAAGAAAGAUGCAGGAGUUGGAAGACAACUUGUUGUACAAACUCAGCAGUACAAAAGGUUCCUUGGUGGAUGAUGACUCCAUGAUCGGCAUUCUGAGUACAACUAAACAAACUGCCGCUGAAGUUAGUGCAAAGCUUAGUGUUGCAGCAGACGCAGAGCUGAAGAUCAAUAUAGCUCAAGCAGAAUAUCGUCCUGUUGCCUCUCGAGGCAGCAUCCUUUACUUCCUCAUCACAGAGAUGAGCAUGGUCAACGUUAUGUACCAGACCUCUCUUGGUCAGUUCCUCAAAAUCUUUGACCUGUCGUUGGAAAGGUCUGAAAAGUCCUCUAAAACUCAAAAGCGAAUUGCAAACAUCAUUGAAUGUCUGACCUUUGAGGUGUUCAGAUACACAGUGAGAGGCCUGUAUGAAAACCACAAGUUCAUCUUCACGCUCUUGCUGGCCCUCAAGAUUGACUUACAGAAUAACAAAAUAGAGCAUAACAAAUUUCAGGUUCUUAUCAAAGGUGGUGCAGCUCUCGACCUGAAGACCUGCCCCUCAAAGCCAUUCAGUUGGAUUCUGGAUAUGGUAUGGUUAAACCUGGUGGAACUCAGCAAAUUGCCGCAGUUCAUUAACAUCAUAGCGCAGGUGUCUCAAAAUGGGAAACCCUGGAAAGCAUGGCUCAAUCUUGAUGCCCCAGAAGAAGGUGUAGUUCCAGAUGGAUACAACUCCCUUGAUGUCUUCCAUAAACUUUUGCUAAUAAGGUCUUGGUGCCCUGACCGUACCUUGUCUCAGGCCAGAAAGUACGUGGGAGAAUCCAUGGGCAUGAGGUUUGCUGAACCGGUCCUCUUGAACCUUCAUAGCACAUGGGAAGAGAGUGACCCUCGCACCCCUCUAAUUUGCUUCCUCUCUAUGGGCUCAGAUCCCACUGAGCAAAUUGAAGCACUUGCUAAGAAACUUCAACUUGAAUGCAGAGCUAUAUCAAUGGGACAAGGGCAAGAGGUUCAUGCAAGGAAGCUUGUUCAGACAUCAAUGACACAGGGAGGCUGGGUCCUUCUGCAAAAUUGUCACCUGGGCUUAGAGUUUAUGGAUGAGUUGCUAGAAACUAUCUCAACUGCAGAGACCAUGCAUGAUACUUUCAGAGUGUGGAUCACCACAGAACCACACGACCGAUUCUCCAUCACACUCCUCCAGUCCUCUAUCAAGUUUACCAACGAUCCACCUCAAGGAAUACGUGCUGGCUUGAAACGAACAUUUGCAGGGAUUUCACAGAACCAGUUGGAAGUCAGCAACCUGCCCACAUGGAAGCCUUUGCUCUACAGUGUUGCCUUUCUCCACACUGCUGUGCAGGAACGACGCAAAUUUGGACCAUUGGGUUGGAACAUACCUUAUGAGUUUAACUCUGCUGAUUUUACUGCAAGUGUUGAAUUUGUUGAGAAACACCUGGAUGAUUGUGGUCCCAAGAAGGAUGUGUCAUGGGUAACCGUGCGAUACAUGCUAGCUGAGGUGCAAUAUGGAGGAAGGGUUACAGACGACUAUGACAAACGCCUACUUAAGUGUUUUGCUCGUGUGUGGUUCAGUAAAAAGAUGUUUGACCCAUCAUUUUGCUUCUACACUGGUUACAAAAUUCCAGUGUGCAAGACAGUCGAGGAGUACAUGGAAUACAUUCAGAGCUUGCCGGUUCUGGAUUCACCUCAAGCACUUGGGCUGCAUCCUAAUGCUGAUAUCACGUAUCAGACCAACACAUCUGCUGAAGUGCUAGACACAAUCACAAAUAUUCAGCCCAAGGAAAGUGGAGGGGGAUCAGGAGCAACUAGAGAGUCCAUCGUUCACUGCAUGGCAGAGGACAUGUUGGACAAACUACCCCCUAAUUAUGUGCCACAUGAGGUCAAAGCCAGGCUGUUGAAGAUGGGAGCACUGAACCCAAUGAACAUCUUCCUACGUCAGGAGGUUGAUCGAAUGCAAAGGAUCAUCAGUGUGGUGCGCACUAGUCUGACUGACUUGAAGUUAGCCAUUGAUGGCACUAUCAUAAUGAGCGAGAACCUCCGUGAUGCCCUGGACAAUAUUUUUGAUGCCCGUGUGCCAAACCUGUGGAGAAAAAUCUCCUGGGAGUCAUCCACACUGGGUUUUUGGUUCACUGAGCUUCUAGAGAGAAACAAACAGUUCUACAGUUGGGUGUUUGAGGGAAGACCCACCACCUUUUGGAUGACAGGCUUCUUCAACCCACAGGGGUUCUUGACAGCUAUGAGACAAGAGGUGACAAGGGCAAACAAAGGCUGGGCUCUGGACACAGUCACUCUGCACAACAAAGUUCUGAAACAGGCAAAGGAGGAGAUCAAUGCCUCCCCUACAGAGGGAGUUUAUGUUUACGGUCUGUACCUGGAUGGCGCUGGCUGGGACAGGAAAAACAUCUAUCUCAUUGAGUCCUCACCCAAAGUGCUUUUUACACCUUUGCCUGUCAUCCACAUGUUUGCCAUCAACUCCACUGCCCCGGUGGAUCCUAAACUCUAUGUCUGCCCCAUCUACAAGAAACCAAGGCGCACAGACCUCAAUUACAUCACAGCUGUGGUGUUGCCUACCGUCCAAUCACCAGACCACUGGAUCUUGCGUGGGGUUGCCCUUCUCUGUGAUAUUGCAUAAAAGAUAGCUGCAUGUCUGUGAUAUUGAUUAAAGGGCAAAUAAAUACCUCUGUUUCUAUAUGUCAAACGUCUGUCAAGACGUAUGCUUAAUAUAAGAUAGUUACUAUUAUACUGCAGUGCAAAAUGUAAGUAUUACUCAAAAAAGUAAGAUUCAGAAUGGACAGUCUACUAGUUGACAAAUCAGGUAGUGUCAGUGACCUCUCAAUUGUUGCAGUUAAAUUACAUGUUAAUUGAAAAUCUGAUCACUGCCACGCUGCUGAAAUACUUCACUCUGGGAGGUCUGGAUGCUGUUGGACAAGAGUAGAGAUAAAGCUAGAAAGCCAACCACCAGACCACUCAGGCUUACAUUCAUUCCAGCAUUGAAAUGCAGAGGCAGAAGAGGGGGAAGAAGCCCAUCACUUCUACAAACUUCUAUAAACACAUGGGCUGUUGAUAGGAGUCUUUCAAAACCAGUUAGUACAGAGUUAAAGGUAAGUUGCAGAUGCUAUUGUAAUAGCUAACAGAUUAU